GACGAACGCUGGCGGCGGGCUUAACACAUGCAAGUCGAACGGAAAGGCCCUGCUUGCGUGGGGUGCUCGCGUGGCGAGCGGGUGUGUAACCUGUGAGUCACCUUCCCUGUACUUUGUGAUAUCUUCAGGAAACUGGGGCUAAUACCUGAGUGGUGCUGCUGCUGCAUGGGGGUGGUUGGACAGUUUCGGCGGUGGGGGAUGGACUCGCGGCUUAUCAGCUGGUGGGGUGGGUAGUGGCUUACCCAGGCUUUGACGGGUAGCCUGCCUGAGAGGGGGACCGGGCACAUUGCGACUGAGAUACGGCCCAGACGCCUACGGGAGGCAGCAGUGGGGAAUAUGGCACAAUGGGGGGAAGUCUGAUGAAGAAACGCCGCGUGCGGGAAGAAGGCCUUCGGGUUGGAAACCGCUUUAGGCUGUGACGAAGCGUGAGUGACGGUAAUGGGUAAAGAAGCACCGGCUAACUACGUG
rnacentral:rRNA from 1 species